GUCUGUGUGUGUAAGUUUGUGUGUACAGUAAGUGUGUGUGAAGGAUGUGUGUGAAUUAUGAAAAGCACACAGAGAAGGCUUAAGCACUGUUGUGCUAAGUUGGUGAGCGUUCCAUAGUAGGCCGCAGUAUUUUUGAGAAAAUGCAUCGGUUACUCAUGCCAUCUUGUUGAGAAGAUAGGGAGAGUCAUAGGGUCCGACCUACCUGAACCACCCACACCUCAGUGUUUCAUGAACAGUUGGACUUAUAGGAGGUAUUCUCAAAGAUGUAGGGCCAAAAGAUCCUAGGAUUGCGUGAUAAAUAUGCUUUCUGCAGCCAAUUUGGCUACCAUCUACCCAUGUUCCCAGAGCAAGCCCCCAAGGCCCAGAGUCUCACCCAGAACAGGAGUUCAACAAGAACCACCUGCUGAACGUUAAAGGCAAGAAGUCAUGUGCAGCACUCUGGCGGGUCCAUCAUCUCAAUAUACUAUCAAGCCACCAUCACAGCACCUAGCAUGCAUGGCCAGCACAGAACUCACUGUCUAUACAACUUUUUAUGGGAUGGGUUGGGAAUACCUAGAGGAAACCUACCAAGAACGGGGAGAAUACAUGCACAGAGAGAUGGGAAUUGAGCCAGGCUGGGAAUCAUAUCCGGCCCCUAAAGGUGGAAGACGACAGCGCUAACCACUACACUACCAUGCUUGCUACACAAUUGCUGUCGUUGUUGGACUAUUUUUUAUCAUGAAUAACCACAGUGAAUUCAUUCAGCAAUUCAGUAAAAGCAUAAUUUUAUCAAACAAGCUGGGAGCUAAAAGAGAAGUUGCAUU